rnacentral:rRNA from 1 species
UACGUAGGGUGCAAGCGUUGUCCGGAAUUAUUGGGCGUAAAGAGCUCGUAGGCGGUUUGUCGCGUCUGCUGUGAAAAUCCAGGGCUUAACCCUGGACCUGCAGUGGGUACGGGCAGACUAGAGUGCGGUAGGGGAGAUCGGAAUUCCUGGUGUAGCGGUGAAAUGCGCAGAUAUCAGGAGGAACACCGGUGGCGAAGGCGGAUCUCUGGGCCGUCACUGACACUCAGAGACGAAAGCUAGGGGAGCGAAUGGG